rnacentral:rRNA from 1 species
AGCGAACGCUGGCGGCAUGCCUAACACAUGCAAGUCGAACGAACCUUUCGGGGUUAGUGGCGGACGGGUGAGUAACACGUGGGAACGUGCCCUUAGGUUCGGAAUAACUCAGGGAAACGUGUGCUAAUACCGAAUGUGCCCUUCGGGGCAAAGAUUUAUCGCCUUUAGAUCGGCCCGCGUCUGGUUAGCUAGUUGGUUGAGGUAAUGGCUCACCAAGGCGACGAUCAAUAGCUGGUCUGAGAGGAGGAUAAGCCACAUUGGGACUGAGACACGGCCCAAACUCCUACGGGAAGCAGCAGUGGGGAAUCUUGCACAAUGGGCGAAAGCCUGACGCAGCCAUGCCGCGUGAAUGAUGAAGGUCUUAGGAUUGUAAAAUUCUUUCACCAGGGACGAUAAUGACGGUACCCGGAGAAGAAGCCCCGGCUAACUUCGUG